rnacentral:snRNA from 1 species
AUACUUACUGGCAGGGGAGAUACCAUGAUCAUGAAGGUGGUUUUCCCAGCAUGAGGCUCAUCCAUUGCACUCCAGAUGUGCUGACCCCUGCAAUUUCCCCAAAUGUGGGAAAUUCAACCGCAUAAUUUGUGGUAGUGGGGGACUGUGUUUGCGCUUUCCCCUG